UACUGCCAGCAGAGUGAGCAAAUAGAAACGAAAAAAAAAACCGAAAAAAGGAAACAUUUCUGACACAGACUUGAGCCAGUCACAAUGACUGCACAUGAGUUUUCCCCAUUAAAAGCAGAAAAAACUACAAUUUUUCCCUGCUACUGCAGUUUUCCCCGCGAUUAACUAAAAAUAAAUUUUCAUUUUUCCGCAGGCCGUGCAAAUGAACAAUUUUUGCGUAUGACAACAGACGGGAAUCAACGCGACCCGCGCAGCCCUCGAGAUUCAAGUUUACUAAAGAUGGCUAAAAAUAAUUCACCCGGCAGAUAAACUCGAGGUCUUGCAUAUAUGUAUCCUGCUUUGUUUGCUUUGAAGUCUCAAAAAGCAAGAGAUAUUUAAAUAUUAUUAUUUUAUAUACACAGCUUUGAUCAGCAGAACUAUCAGGAGAGUAUUUCAACUUCGGAAGUAACGUGUAAAUGCUGAGUUUCCGUUUAAGUGAGUUUAUGGUGUGGGAAGUUUGAGUCCCAAAUUCCGUGUAACAGUACGAUGCCAUGUAUUAUAAUACCUACCCUGCUCUACUUUAAUUCAAUUUGCAUUUGCAACUUUUGCAAUUGCCCUUUGGAAACGGAACGUAAACAGCUAUUGAUAAUUGCUGUGCACUGUGGGGAUGUGCGUGUGCACUUGGCUGCCACCUCAGUUGUUUGCGCUUACCGGUCCUUAUUGUUUGUUACUAAUUACAUAAUUGCAAAUAUCUCCCGACAAGCAACAUGGCAACAGCAGCUUGUGUGUUUGCUGCCUGGCUUAUCCUUUAAUACCAUCAAAAACUAAAUAAUGAAUGAGCGGGAUUUACUAUCGACAGAUAAUUCCAGAUAUUGAUUGCGGAUUGAACGUCACUCAAACAUUUUCGUUCUAGCGGAAACUCAAAGGAACAUGUAUAUUCAUAACGCAAAACACAAAAUACUAAUCCCUUUUAUUUGAACAACUUGUAAAUUGAAACAA